AAACCACUAUUGCACAUAUGAUAAACCACUAAGCAGCUCUAUCAGCAGCUGAUAAUUGAAUUACAUAUGAAUACAUCUCAGGUAAAUUUCUCAGAAGAAUCUUAAGUGGAAAUGCCUACAAGCCUACACCUACCACUAAAUAUAUUAUUUUUUAAUCAAUACAUAAAAAUUAUAUGUAUUCUAAAAACCUAGAAGUAAAGAAUCUAGUUACUUGAAUCUCCA
rnacentral:misc_RNA from 1 species